GGGAGAUGGGAGACAUUCCAGAGAAUAGAGCAACAAGAGAAAUCAUUGUCAAUCUGUAUGGGUCAGGUGGCAUUGACCUCUGCUCCAAGUUUUUGGAAUGUCUCCCAAUCCUGACUAAGGUAGUCAGAACACCAGGCUCUUCAGCCAUGGGGGGCUUAUGGAUGAGACCACAACCCAAGCAGAACAAUGAAAACUCUCGUUGGAAUAUUUGCUGAAUCGAUACCCCUGUGAGACAUGGGGUACCAAGGAUCAGGUAAGCCUGGAACAACCAGAGUCAUCUUGGCCACUACAAAGACAGAAUAUAUCUAAGAGUAAGAGCAACAAGAGGAAAAAUCAUCCUAAGGACAAAACUUAAGUCCAGGAACACAGCUGUGAUGAAACAACCCACUUUUAUCUCCAGACGUUUUAGCUCCAUGAGCCACUGGUUCCUUCUUCCUGCAUAAGUUGGUGUGAGUUGUAACCUUGUAACCCAGAGUCCUGACGAGAAGAAAUGCUUGCUAUGUGCAUGCUACAUGAUGGAGAGAUAUGGGGGUCCGCAACAGUUGGGGUCCCUGCCUUUAUGGAGUCCAGAGUCUACCAAGGAAGACUGCCAUGAACAAUUAACUACAAAUGUGUUGAGAGUUACAAGGAAGGAGUAUAGGUUUCCAAUGCCAAGGUUUAAGCACAGGUGCAUCUCACUAGGUUUGAAAAAUGAGGGAAGACUUCUCCAAGAAACUGACACUUAUGAGACUUAAAGGAUGAAAAGAAGUUCAUCUAGUUUAAACAGAUGACAUUGAAAAAGCAAAAUUCUUGCAUACAUACAAAACCUGUGGACAAAAUCCUUACUCCAUAUUUUUAAAAGGGCAAUUUUUAGCUCACUAAUAAAACAGGCCAUACAAAAAAUGCAAAGUCAAAUACACACAUUACAUAGAAAUCAAUGCACCUAUAGAUUAAUCAAAUAUGAGAUAUAUUAAUUUCUUUAUAGAAUAAAAAAUCAUAUAUUAAAAAAUAGCUAAAGAAAUGUAGAUGUCUUCAUGAAUGCACAAUUUCAAAAAGUAUUUCAGCGAUGGGUACCAUGGGGGAACUAACAGUACGGGGUCAGUUUGGAUGGGAGGAUGGUAUUCUGCUCAAAGGUUGAUGCAUUAGUUCUGAGGGCUGAAAAUUACUUCUCUAGUCUUAGUCAUGUAAGCUUGAGCCAUCAAUAUUUUAAAUCCAAAAGAUGAUGGGAUUGUAACUAGAGGAUCUCUAAAAGCCCUUGCACUAAUGAAAUUCUAUGACAUGUCUCCAGUCUGAUUUGUCAAAACUUAAUUUUGACAUAUUAAAAUAUCAUUCAGACACUAACAGCUCACUUUCCCAAG
rnacentral:lncRNA from 1 species